AUGAACGCUGGCAGCGUGCCUAAUACAUGCAAGUCGAGCGAACAGACGAGGAGCUUGCUCCUCUGACGUUAGCGGCGGACGGGUGAGUAACACGUGGAUAACCUACCUAUAAGACUGGGAUAACUUCGGGAAACCGGAGCUAAUACCGGAUAAUAUAUUGAACCGCAUGGUUCAAUAGUGAAAGACGGUUUUGCUGUCACUUAUAGAUGGAUCCGCGCCGCAUUAGCUAGUUGGUAAGGUAACGGCUUACCAAGGCGACGAUGCGUAGCCGACCUGAGAGGGUGAUCGGCCACACUGGAACUGAGACACGGUCCAGACUCCUACGGGAGGCAGCAGUAGGGAAUCUUCCGCAAUGGGCGAAAGCCUGACGGAGCAACGCCGCGUGAGUGAUGAAGGUCUUCGGAUCGUAAAACUCUGUUAUUAGGGAAGAACAAAUGUGUAAGUAACUAUGCACGUCUUGACGGUACCUAAUCAGAAAGCCACGGCUAACUACGUG
rnacentral:rRNA from 1 species